GUCGGGGCAGUCCCCAAAGUUUAUGGGGGGGUGCUUUGUCCUCAGCCCCGCGCCGGAUGCUCGCUGUCUGCAGGCUACACUUGCCUGUGGCGUCUGAGCUGCGAACGGGACCCUCUUCUCUCCCGGUCCAGGUCGCCUCUUUCCACACCCUACCUGGCUGACCCAGCUCCAAAGCCGCGUCUCUCGGGACGCUCUGCCUGACGUCAAACCUGAAGUUGGGAUGGAAGAGACCCAAGUUCUCCCAGACGCCACCACCGCCAGCACGGUCCUCACUCAUCCUAAUCCAGGCCUGGCUCUCCCUCCCUUCUGGCUGCGAGGUCUCCGUUCCAGUCUCUGACUCUGCUGGAGAGAUGGCUCAGAGGGUAACUGCUCAGAGGGACCUGGGUUCCAUCCCCGCGGACCCGUAAGGCGGAGGGAGACCACCGAUCCUGCAAAUUGUCCUCUGACCUCCACUGGGACACUCAGCACAGCAGCUUUCAGUUUUCCUCCCCUCUCCCUCCAUCUCUGUACACAGUUGUGCGGGUCAGAAGUCUUGUGGCUUUGGACAGCUGCCUAAAGGACCCCAAGCAGAACAAUCACAUUCGUGUGCACUCCAUUGGUCCUUCCCAGUCACCCUGUUAUCCACUGCCCAGAAAGUCUGCAUCUUGGACUCAGCUCAGCUCACCCACCGAAAAGAAAAUGAGCGACGGGAGAUGCUGACAAGAACGAUUCGGACUCAGGUACUUGCAGCAAGAACAGCCUCUUGGAAGGCAUUGGAAGGCAGCUCUCAACCUCCAGGCUGGAGGCGGGAGACGGGCAGACACGCAGAGGCCAUACACCCAAGUGGGCCCCGGGUACAGUGAGGUUUUGAGCCUUAUUGCUUCUCCUGGUAAGGUCAGAGCCUGAAGACUGAUUUUUUUUUUCUUUAAAGCAAAGUUGACUAGUGGAAGUCUGCAU